rnacentral:rRNA from 1 species
UCGGGAAUUUUGGGCAAUGGGCGAAAGCCUGACCCAGCAACGCCGCGUGAGGGAUGAAGUAUUUCGGUAUGUAAACCUCGAAAGAAUGGGAAGAAUAAAUGACGGUACCAUUUAUAAGCUCUGGCUAACUACGUGCCAGCAGCCGCGGUAAUACGUAGGGAGCAAGCGUUGUUAGGAUUUAAUGGGCGUAAAGGGCGCGUAGGCGGCGCGGUAAGUCACUUGUGAAAUCUCUGAGCUUAACUCAGAACGGCCAAGUGAUACUGCUGUGCUAGAGUGCGGAAGAGGCAACCGGAAUUCUUGGUGUAGCGGUGAAAUGCGUAGAUAUCAAGAGGAACACCUGAGGCGAAGGCGGGUUGCUGGGCCGACACUGACGCUGAUGCGCGAAAGCCAGGGGAGCAAACG